rnacentral:sRNA from 15 species
UGGACAUCUGGAGGAAGUAAAGGACGGUGUCGGAAAGAGACAGUUAGUUCUCUGCUUCUGCUGCUGCUGCAGCUGCUGCUAGUUGAGUGACUAUCGGAGAGGGAUAGAUUUUGAGGUACAUGCACAUCAGACGAUGGGCUACCGGCAAUACGGGCAGGAGAAACAUGCAGCAAAGAAGGGUGGCCAUAGCAAAUGCGUUCUUCAAAUACAAAAAUAUAAACACAGUAUUGAUAGAGUGGAGCAUUCAGGGGAAAUCUGUACUCACUAUUGGAUCCACUAGGCGUUCACAAAUUAACAGAUCAAAGAUGGAC